rnacentral:rRNA from 1 species
UUUUACAAUAUCGAUUUAAUCGACUAAAAUUCUAGGUAGAUUUAUGAUGAUGACAUUAUCUAUCUAUGUGUCUUGACCAAAUUACGUGCCAGCAGUCGCGGUAAUACGUAGAAGACUAGUGUUAUUCAUCUUUAAUAGGUUUAAAGCGUACCUAGACGGUAAUUAUAGCCUAAAUCAGGUACUUCUUUACUAGAGUUAGAUGUAAGGGUGUAUUAAAGUACUGUUGGUGUAGAGAUGAAAUUCGUUGAUACCAGAUAAUUGGCACAGGUAUAGGCGAAAGCAUCACUUUAUGUAAUAACUGACGUUGACGGACGAAGGCUUUGUGUCGCGAACAGGAUUAGAUACCCCAGUAGUCUUAGCAGAAAAUUAUGAGUGUCAUAGGUUAGAUUUUUUUGGUCUAUAAAUGAAAGUGUAAGCACUCCACCUCAAGAGUAAUUUGGCAACAUUGGAACUGAAAUCAUUAGACCGUUUCUGAAACCAGUAGUGAAGUAUGUUGUUUAAUUUGAUGAUCCGCAAAGAACCUUACCACAAUUUGAAUAAAAAUGUUUUAUUUUUACAAGCGUUGCACGGCUGUCGUCAGUUAAUGUCGUGAGAUAUUGGUUUAUUCCAUUAAAUUAACGUAAACCCAAACUCUAUUUUUAUAUAGAGUUAUUCAUUCGCUAUAAUGAAUGUAAUAACAGGGACUAAGACAAGUCAUCAUGGCCUGAAUAUUGUGGGCU